rnacentral:rRNA from 1 species
GCCAUGCAUGUCUCAGUGCAGCCGUACGCGCUCGCGCGUCUAGGUGAAACCGCGAAAGGCUCAUUAAAUCAGUUAUGGUUCCUUGGAUCGUACCACUCAGUUACUUGGAUAACUGUGGUAAUUCUAGAGCUAAUACAUGCCGACAGAGUUCCGACCGCCUUGUGCGGGAGGAACGCUUUUAUUAGAUCAAAACCCAUCGGCGUGGUUUCGGCCACGCCGACAACACUCGGUCCCCUUCGCGGGGGCCGACCAAGUGGUGACUCUGAAUAACUUUGUGCUGAUCGCACGGUCUCAGUGCUGGCGAUGCAUCUUUCAAAUGUCUGCCUUAUCAACUGUCGAUGGUAGGUUAUGCGCCUACCAUGGUGGUAACGGGUGACGGGGGAUUAGGGUUCGAUCCCGGAGAGGGAGCCUGAGAAACGGCUACCACAUCCAAGGAAGGCAGCAGGCACGCAAAUUACCCACUCCCAGCUCAGGGGAGGUAGUGACGAAAUAUAACGAUACGGGACUCAUCCGAGGCCUCGUAAUCGGAAUGAGUACACUGUAAAACGUUUAACGAGGAUCCAUUGGAGGGCA